GGCCCAGUGGUGUACUGGUAACACAUCCUCUUGAUUUAUUGUUGUUCAGAAAGUCCUUCAGAGGAAGCACCCUGUUCAAUUUGGGGCUGGGCCA